rnacentral:rRNA from 1 species
AACGCACUUGUGACAGGGAGGGGCGGGUAGACGAAGAAUGCAAGCGUUGUCCGGUUUCUGUGGGGUUAAAGGGGGCGUAGGCGGACUAAUAAGUUAGUGGUGAAAUCUACGGGCUUAACACGGAGAGUGCCAGUGAUAGUGUAAGUCUUGGGUACAGAUGAUGUUGGCGGAAUAUGACAGUUAGCGGUGAAAUGCAUAGAUAUGUCAUAGAACACCGAUUGCGAAGGCAGCUGACAAAACUGUAACUGACGCUGAGGCACGAAAGUGCGGGGAUCAAACAGGAUUAGAGACCCCAGUAGUC